rnacentral:rRNA from 1 species
CCUACGGGCGGCUGCAGUGGGGAAUAUUGGACAAUGGGGGGAACCCUGAUCCAGCCAUGCCGCGUGUGUGAAGAAGGCCCUCGGGUUGUAAAGCACUUUCAGUGAGGAAGAACGCCUGGUGGUUAAUACCCAUCAGGAAAGACAUCACUCACAGAAGAAGCACCGGCUAACUCCGUGCCAGCAGCCGCGGUAAUACGGAGGGUGCGAGCGUUGAUCGGAAUUACUGGGCGUAAAGCGCGCGUAGGUGGCUUGAUAAGCCGGUUGUGAAAGCCCCGGGCUCAACCUGGGAACGGCAUCCGGAACUGUCAAGCUAGAGUGCAGGAGAGGAAGGUAGAAUUCCCGGUGUAGCGGUGAAAUGCGUAGAGAUCGGGAGGAAUACCAGUGGCGAAGGCGGCCUUCUGGACUGACACUGACACUGAGGUGCGAAAGCGUGGGUAGCAAACAGGAUUAGAUACCCGUGUAGUC